GCCGACUUGGCGAAAUAGGUAGACGCAAGGGACUUAAAAUCCCUCGAGCUUCAAAACUCAUGCCGGUUCGAGUCCGGCAGUCGGCACCA
rnacentral:tRNA from 1 species